GAUGAAGAACGCAGCGAAAUGCGAUAAGUAAUGUGAAUUGCAGAAUUCAGUGAAUCAUCGAAUCUUUGAACGCACAUUGCGCCCGCCAGUAUUCUGGCGGGCAUGCCUGUCUGAGCGUUAUUUCAACCCUCAUGCCCCUAGGGCGUGGUGUUGGGGAUCGGCCAAAGCCCGCGAGGGACGGCCGGCCCCUAAAUCUAGUGGCGGACCCGUCGUGGCCUCCUCUGCGAAGUAGUGAUAUUCCGCAUCGGAGAGCGAUGAGCCCCUGCCGUUAAACCCCCAACUUUCCAAGGUUGACCUCAGAUCAGGUAGGAAUACCCGCUGAACUUAAGCAUAUCAAUAAGCGGAGGA
rnacentral:misc_RNA from 1 species